rnacentral:rRNA from 1 species
UUUAUGGAGAGUUUGAUCCUGGCUCAGGAUGAACGCUGGCGGCGUGCCUAAUACAUGCAAGUCGAGCGAACGGACGAGAAGCUUGCUUCUCUGAUGUUAGCGGCGGACGGGUGAGUAACACGUGGAUAACCUACCUAUAAGACUGGGAUAACUUCGGGAAACCGGAGCUAAUACCGGAUAAUAUUUUGAACCGCAUGGUUCAAAAGUGAAAGACGGUCUUGCUGUCACUUAUAGAUGGAUCCGCGCUGCAUUAGCUAGUUGGUAAGGUAACGGCUUACCAAGGCAACGAUGCAUAGCCGACCUGAGAGGGUGAUCGGCCACACUGGAACUGAGACACGGUCCAGACUCCUACGGGAGGCAGCAGUAGGGAAUCUUCCGCAAUGGGCGAAAGCCUGACGGAGCAACGCCGCGUGAGUGAUGAAGGUCUUCGGAUCGUAAAACUCUGUUAUUAGGGAAGAACAUAUGUGUAAGUAACUGUGCACAUCUUGACGGUACCUAAUCAGAAAGCCACGGCUAACUACGUGCCAGCAGCCGCGGUAAUACGUAGGUGGCAAGCGUUAUCCGGAAUUAUUGGGCGUAAAGCGCGCGUAGGCGGUUUUUUAAGUCUGAUGUGAAAGCCCACGGCUCAACCGUGGAGGGUCAUUGGAAACUGGAAAACUUGAGUGCAGAAGAGGAAAGUGGAAUUCCAUGUGUAGCGGUGAAAUGCGCAGAGAUAUGGAGGAACACCAGUGGCGAAGGCGACUUUCUGGUCUGUAACUGACGCUGAUGUGCGAAAGCGUGGGGAUCAAACAGGAUUAGAUACCCUGGUAGUCCACGCCGUAAACGAUGAGUGCUAAGUGUUAGGGGGUUUCCGCCCCUUAGUGCUGCAGCUAACGCAUUAAGCACUCCGCCUGGGGAGUACGACCGCAAGGUUGAAACUCAAAGGAAUUGACGGGGACCCGCACAAGCGGUGGAGCAUGUGGUUUAAUUCGAAGCAACGCGAAGAACCUUACCAAAUCUUGACAUCCNNNNNNNNNNNNNNNNNNNNNNNNNNNNNNNNNNNNNNNNNAAGUGACAGGUGGUGCAUGGUUGUCGUCAGCUCGUGUCGUGAGAUGUUGGGUUAAGUCCCGCAACGAGCGCAACCCUUAAGCUUAGUUGCCAUCAUUAAGUUGGGCACUCUAAGUUGACUGCCGGUGACAAACCGGAGGAAGGUGGGGAUGACGUCAAAUCAUCAUGCCCCUUAUGAUUUGGGCUACACACGUGCUACAAUGGACAAUACAAAGGGCAGCGAAACCGCGAGGUCAAGCAAAUCCCAUAAAGUUGUUCUCAGUUCGGAUUGUAGUCUGCAACUCGACUACAUGAAGCUGGAAUCGCUAGUAAUCGUAGAUCAGCAUGCUACGGUGAAUACGUUCCCGGGUCUUGUACACACCGCCCGUCACACCACGAGAGUUUGUAACACCCGAAGCCGGUGGAGUAACCUUUUAGGAGCUAGCCGUCGAAGGUGGGACAAAUGAUUGGGGUGAAGUCGUAACAAGGUAGCCGUAUCGGAAGGUGCGGCUGGAUCACCUCCUUUCUAAGGA